GAUAUUGCACAAUGGGGGAAACCCUGAUGCAGCGACGCCGCGUGAGUGAAGGGGUAUUUCGGUAUGUAAAGCUCUUUCAGCAGGGAAGAAAAUGACGGUACCUGACUAAGAAGCCCUGGCUAACUACGUGCCAGCAGCCGCGGUAAUACGUAGGGGGCAAGCGUUAACCGGAUUUACUGGGUGUAACGGGAGCGUAGGUGGCGAGUCAAGUCAGAUGUGAAAGCCCGGGGCUCAACCCCGGGAUUGCAUUUGAAGCUGGUUUGCUAGAGUGCAGGAGAGGUAAGUGGAAUUCCUAGUGUAGCGGUGAAAUGCGUAGAUAUUAGGAGGAACACCAGUGGCGAAGGCGGCUUACUGGACUGUAACUGACACUGAGGCUCGAAAGCGUGGGGAGCAAACA
rnacentral:rRNA from 1 species